UAGAGUUUGAUCAUGGCUCAGAUUGAACGCUGGCGGCAGGCCUAACACAUGCAAGUCGAGCGGUAACAGAAAGAAAGCUUGCUUUCUUUGCUGACGAGCGGCGGACGGGUGAGUAAUGCCUGGGAAUAUACCCUGAUGUGGGGGAUAACUAUUGGAAACGAUAGCUAAUACCGCAUAAUCUCUUCGGAGCAAAGAGGGGGACCUUCGGGCCUCUCGCGUCAGGAUUAGCCCAGGUGGGAUUAGCUAGUUGGUGGGGUAAUGGCUCACCGAGGCAACGAUCCCUAGCUGGUCUGAGAGGAUGAUCAGCCACACUGGAACUGAGACACGGUCCAGACUCCUACGGGAGGCAGCAGUGGGGAAUAUUGCACAAUGGGGGAAACCCUGAUGCAGCCAUGCCGCGUGUAUGAAGAAGGCCUUCGGGUUGUAAAGUACUUUCAGUUGUGAGGAAGGCAGUUAAGUUAAUAGCUUUGCUGUUUGACGUUAGCAACAGAAGAAGCACCGGCUAACUCCGUGCCAGCAGCCGCGGUAAUACGGAGGGUGCGAGCGUUUAUCGGAAUUACUGGGCGUAAAGCGCAUGCAGGCGGUCUGUUAAGCAAGAUGUGAAAGCCCGGGGCUCAACCUCGGAACAGCAUUUUGAACUGGCAGACUAGAGUCCUGUAGAGGGGGGUAGAAUUUCA
rnacentral:rRNA from 1 species